AACUGUUGCCUCGGCGGGAUCUCUGCCCCGGGUGCGUCGCAGCCCCGGACCAAGGCGCCCGCCGGAGGACCAACCAAAACUCUUUUUGUAUACCCCCUCGCGGGUUUUUUAUAAUCUGAGCCUUCUCGGCGCCUCUCGUAGGCGUUUCGAAAAUGAAUCAAAACUUUCAACAACGGAUCUCUUGGUUCUGGCAUCGAUGAAGAACGCAGCGAAAUGCGAUAAGUAAUGUGAAUUGCAGAAUUCAGUGAAUCAUCGAAUCUUUGAACGCACAUUGCGCCCGCCAGUAUUCUGGCGGGCAUGCCUGUCCGAGCGUCAUUUCAACCCUCGAACCCCUCCGGGGGGUCGGCGUUGGGGAUCGGCCCUCCCUUAGCGGGUGGCCGUCUCCGAAAUACAGUGGCGGUCUCGCCGCAGCCUCUCCUGCGCAGUAGUUUGCACACUCGCAUCGGGAGCGCGGCGCGUCCACAGCCGUUAAACACCCAACUUCUGAAAUGUUGACCUCGGAUCAGGUAGGAAUACCCGCUGAACUUAAGCAUAUCAAUA
rnacentral:rRNA from 1 species